rnacentral:rRNA from 1 species
ACGAACGCUGGCGGCAUGCCUAACACAUGCAAGUCGAACGAACCCUUCGGGGUUAGUGGCGCACGGGUGCGUAACGCGUGGGAACCUGCCUUUAGGUUCGGAAUAACAGUUAGAAAUGACUGCUAAUACCGGAUAAUGUCUUCGGACCAAAGAUUUAUUGCCUUUAGAUGGGCCCGCGUUGGAUUAGAUAGUUGGUGGGGUAAUGGCCUACCAAGUCGACGAUCCAUAGCUGGUCUGAGAGGAUGAUCAGCCACACUGGGACUGAGACACGGCCCAGACUCCUACGGGAGGCAGCAGUGGGGAAUAUUGGACAAUGGGCGAAGGCCUGAUCCANCAAUGCCGNGUGAGUGAUGAAGGCCUUAGGGUUGUAAAGCUCUUUUACCAGGGAUGAUAAUGACAGUACCUGGAGAAUAAGCUCCGGCUAACUCCGUGCCAGCAGCCGCGGUAAU